rnacentral:rRNA from 1 species
UACGGAGGGUGCGAGCGUUGUCCGGAAUCACUGGGCGUAAAGGGCGCGUAGGCGGCGCGGGAAGUCCGUGGUGAAAGCCCGAGGCUCAACUUCGGGUCGGCCAUGGAUACUCCUGGGCUUGAGCACUGUAGAGGCAGGUGGAAUUCCGGGUGUAGCGGUGGAAUGCGUAGAGAUCCGGAAGAACACCGGUGGCGAAGGCGGCCUGCUGGGCAGUGACCGUAAGGUCUUAAAAGCUGACGCUGAGGCGCGACAGCGUGGGGAGCAAACAGG